rnacentral:misc_RNA from 1 species
AAGUCGUAACAAGGUUUCCGUAGGUGAACCUGCGGAAGGAUCAUUAACACAAAGCUUGCGCGCUAAUUGGCACUUCACCGUGUCUUUGGUGUCGCAUCUUUACACCCCCCUUUUUGCAAACGUGUUUUUUUUAUUAUACUGUUUUCAGUAUGCCGCCAAUUAGGGUUCGUCCUUUCUUUGGUGGUAUUACUCAACAACAACAUAUCUAUUAAACCCCUUGAAUUUUUUUAGACUGACAUCUGAACAUGUAUUUAUUUAUAUGUUCUGCCAUUAUAUCAAACGCUGAACAACUCUUAGCAACGGAUAUCUUGGCUCUC